UAUGUAGGUAUGCAUGCAUGUAUGUAGACAUGUAUGUGUGUAUGCAUACAAUAAUAAUAAUAACCAUCAGCUGUUUUCUCUUAUUCAACUAACAGCAGCGAUUAUUUAUUGGUUGAAGUGGUAGACAACGAAUACGACGCUACUAAAGUAUUUUGAAAACGAACUUUCGAAGCUUACGGUUGUCAAGGCAGUUUGUAUGUCGGCAUCUACUCAUCUAGCGUCAUUUGGCAUACUGAUUAAAGAACUACAUAUGUAUGUAUGUACAUAUGUAUUUUUUUAUGUUUCUCUUUCAACUUUUUUCAAGUUUUGUUUAACUAAUAUAAAUAAUUCAUAAGCCAAUAAUAGAAAAUACAGUUAUUCCGUUUAAAAAUAACACAGAAGUUAAAAGCAAAAAUAAUAUAUACAUAUGUAUAUGUACAUAUGUCAAGGCGAAUUAAGUACUAUAGGUUACAAAACAGUUACUGUAUUUUUCGCGAUUUUGACAAGUCUGACGAUAGGUCCCUUACCAAUUCAGAACAAACAAGAGGAAGAGCAAUUAAAUGUUUCUGAAAAUUCAUGGAAUGGCUUCUUAAUAUUGUGAUUUAUGAGAUUCAAACUAAACAAGCUAAUGAAACUGAAGUGCCGAGUGUUAAAAGUGUUGUAAAAGCUCAAAGUGAAUAUAAAGCCUCCAAAUACAGUUUUAUGCGAAUGAUGACGUGGCAAGAAAGUGUGUGUGUGUCGGUAUAAUUGCUUGUGAGUUUGGUUGCGUCCGUUGCUUUCGCCUACUCUUCCUCUUCACAAACAAGUAAUUCUCCUUCCUUUCCGAAGGCUCAAACUGGUAUUUUAUUAUCCUUGUUUGUAUGUACACUUCAAACACAGCUGUCAAGAAGGUCUUUUUACAUUUGCAGUUAAUAGCUUUAAGUUAUAAAAGUUUUAAAAAAUUAAACGUGGAUCAGUACUUCUGCUAGGUAUCUGAAUAUAAUUCGGAAAUUCAUCGAAAUUCCACAAUGAAACUUUCAGAUAUUACUGGGCGUGGUAGGGGAGAUCGGGGAUGGUUGACUAACUUUUGACUUAAGCUCAUGUAUCUCUGAUGUUUAAUUUAAUAUAUUUACAUAACAAAAACAACAAUUGCUACCGAUAAAAGAACUAUUCAGACUCUUUGGCGUGCAAUCAAUUGAAUUGAAUUGAACAGCUUAAAUUGUCGGUAUUUUUGACUUUGACAACUUUGCCGGCGUAAUUGGCAUAUCAACAUAUCGGCGGGCGGGCAUCUUUAUGAAAUUGCCAUGACGUGCUCGGUGGCGGCCGUGGCGGCAUUUAACAAAUUUGUGCAGAGCUAAUUAAUCAAACUCAAUCACAAUCACUGCGCGUCCCAACACACGCACAACACACACACACACACCGAAAAAGAUGCCACUUAAACAACAGCUACCAUGAGAACAACAACACCAAACACAAUUUCAAACUAUGACGGAUAGGUUUCAAAGCAGACGAACGAAAACACACACUUAGGGAGCAGCAGAAAUGAAGUUAGCACACCAUAAGCGAUUGUAUUAGGUCACAAAUCAUGCAACAUAAUCAUUUGACAUUACAACUGCCGCAACAGCCAACACAUAGGUACACACACUUGCAUACAGCCAGACAUAAUCAGUCACUCACCUACUGGCGGACGCAAUAUGAAGCGCUGGCUACCUUAAUAUGCAACGAAUGCAUUCCAACUCAUAAUGUGACGUCCAUCAUCCACAUUGAAGCAUUCAACAGCCGACAAAACGGGAACGCUUUCAAUCUGUGCGACCGUCUGCUGGCCUGCUUGUUUGUAUGUCCCUGUGUACGUGUGUCUCACUGUUCAUCCAACUGUAUGAUUAUAUGCUGCGCCAUGCAUGCAUGUCCGUCCCUUUGCAGUGCGCUUGCGUUCGCGCUCUUGCUUGAUGCGCCAAUGUUUAUUCAGUUGAAAUUAACUUGACUCACCUCAUCACCAGCGUACUCAGCAGCUACACAAUUACACAUAUAUGCACAUAUACACAAACUAGCAUAAAAACACACGCCGUCAUUUUAGCGUCCCAAAUGAGCCGUUUUUCAACGGUCUUUGGUGGCCAAGCACGUCUGCUCGCCCAUCCAUCCGCCCGCCACCGGAUCAACUAUUUAACUCUACCAGUCUCCAUCCCACACUCAGAUGGAACGCGUGCUGGCUUGCGGAUGGGGGCAAUGGUCGCACUGGGGGAUUUGCUAGAGAGCCACUCGAGUGCACACAAAACGGGCCCCAAGUACGGAUUUCAGCAUAACCACAAGAGCAGCUGCAACAAGCAUGCAAGUGUACAUACAUAUGAACAUACAGGCAUAAUGCAUACAUAUAAAUAUAAAUGUGUGUAUGUAUGAAUAUAUUUAGAAAAAGUGACUUUGGUGUGCGCAACAGCGUCAUCAUGAAGAUCCGUUCAGGAAUAAAGUAACAAUAUCCUUUUUUCUUCAGCUUGUUCGCCAGAUGGAGUGUGUUGCUCAACACUGGCGUAUGUUAGCUUGCGGUGUACGUGACUUGUCGUUCGGUAGCUCCUCUCGAGCCAACAUUGAAUACCGAGCAAAUGAAGCUGAAGAAGCCAGUGAAGCCAACAGAAACGCUGUCGCCGCAGAUUACUAUUGCCUUCUUUGCUGUUGUUGUUGUUGCGUAGUUGUUUUUUUUUUUCUUUCUUGCUGCCAAUUCCAGGCGAACCCCUAAUGCCGGCGGGAAAUUGAAAUAGCAUUGAAAUUGUAUACAGUUUGUGCUUUUAUGUAUGACAGUUGACUAUUUCGUUUCUAUUUGUUUUUUUAUUUUCGUUUUGUUAUUCCGGGUGUUCGCCCCUCACCUCAUUUUCCCUUUUAUGGAUGUAAUGUGAGUAUCUUAAACGAAGUGGCAUGCAAAGCCGAGCCAUAUUCGCCAAUGAGACGGCAUAGGGCGCAAAGUAACGCGGCGCAUACGAAAAGUCGAGCAACGAAGGGUCCACUGCAAGUCCUUCGCAGAGACAAAUUAAUGCGAAUGUGUACACAUAUUACAUACGCGUACAUAUGUAUAGAUGUUUGUAGGUAGUAUUGUAUAUAUGUAAGAACUGUUGAAUUCUACCUACUUACAAAGGUAUUUUAUUUUAUUUAACUUCCGAGUUUGCGAAAUGACGCUUGAUAUUCUAUGUAGCUGGUGGUGAAGUUAUGCACAAUUAUUGCGAGAGCUAUAAAUAACCCUACCGACGUACACAAAUACACACAUACACAUGCAUGGGAUAUUAUUUUCAUAGUAGACUCAGUAUAAUGUAGGAGAAAUUUUUUAUUUGCGUAAGCAGGUUUAUUUGUAGGUAAUCAAGUAAAUAAAAAGAUUUCUAAAGGGGAAAUCUUUUCGGGCAGGAAAAAACUGAGCUGAGUUGGAAAGUUAUGAGUGGAUUGUGAGUUUUUAUAAAAUAAAAGAAAUUAUAAAGUUUUUAUAUAUAAAAGCAUAUCAGACGAAGAAGUAGAGUUUAUUUUGGGCUCUAAAUUGCGUAACGAUUUUCAAAGGAGCCAUAUCAUGACAAAAUUUUGAGAUAUUUAUUUCCUAAAAAAACAAAUGCAUAUUUUUCAAUUCAUUUAAUU